rnacentral:lncRNA from 1 species
UCACUUUUGAGAAGGCAAAGGAGGAGCAAAAAGAAUUCAAAGAACAGAAAGAACGGUAAGUAACAGACUUGCAUUUUGUUCCAAAAAAAAAAAAAUUCUUCAGAAGAUUUGAUCUUUGAAAGAGCAAAAUAAUGAAUUUGUACUGUUUUAUUUAAAGUAUUGUUUAUUUUCAAAUAAAGGUCAUAUCUAUUAGCCACUGGAUUCCCUGGAAUGCUAAAAAGACAAAGACUUGAAACCACUCAAGAAAUGUUAAAACAACAACUUCCUCCUGCAUCACCUGCAUCUACAUCCAGAAUGUCAGCUGAUGGUGAGUCAAUUUCUUUUGACAUAAUCAAUAUGAGAAGUUUUGUUUUCUCUUUUUUAUAAUUAUAGCACAACUUAUUUUACACAACAGACAAGGAUGAGCUUCUCCAAAUGCUGAGAGAGAUCAAGAGCACAGUUCAGGAAAACUCUGCUAUGUUAAAGAAACUACUAAAAGACAAUAUGGUUUCUGAAGCACCCAGCAGUACAAGCGUGCCUUCAAAAAACAUUAAAGCAAACCUAAAACUGCCUCUUAGAACCUUUGAAGAUGUGGCCAGGACUGAAAGACAGCUCAACACCAUAAAAAACCCGGAAAAAAUAUAGUGAGUCGACAGCAUUUAUAAAUUUUAUUAUCUUUCUUAGAAAAACUUAACGGUUCUGGUUAGAAAAAUAGUCCAGGCAGACUAUUUAUAACUGUACAGUUUAAUGUCAUUAUACAAAGCAUUUGACAGUUUCAAAGCAAUGUAUUAGAAUCACAUAUAAAAAAAAAUCUUCACAGGUAAAAGUUUUGUCAGGGCUUGGAGGUUUUGGCCCCAAGGAUGUGAUUAAGAAUAUUAUGCAGCAAGUCCUAACAGAUGAUCUGGCUAAGGAGUUCAACUGGCAGGGGAGAGGAGAUAAAAGAGCCUUCUCUCACCUUUGUCUAACAGAUGUGAUCAGAGAUGCUGCAUUCAAACGAAGUGUAAACAGGGCUGACUGUGAAACUGAAAUAAAAAAAUAUUUGAGUUACACAGCUGAUCGACUCAGUCGGAAGAGACCAAGAGAACAAGGAGGUCCUGUGCACGAGAAUCCAAAUGUGAUUUCUACCUCACUGAUGGAAAACCAGCCAGAGAUGGAAAUACCCUACAAUUUUGAUUUUGAGUUUUGAUCAUCAGUCAUAGGUCAUGAAGACCCACUUUCAAAUUAAGCAAUUUUUUUUUUUUUUUUUACAUUUAUUCUCUUUGACAUUACUUAAUGAAUUGUCAUUGUUUCAGUUAUAUGCCAGCAGGUGGGACUUGCAUGCAUGUCUGAUAGAGAUGGAAAUACCCUACAAUUUUGAUUUUUGAGUUUUUGAUCAUCAGUCAUAGGUCAUGAAGACCCACUUUCAAAUUAAGCAAUUUUUUUUUUUUUUUUUACAUUUAUUUCUCUUUGACAUUACUUAAUGAAUUGUCAUUGUUUUCAGUUAUAUGCCAGCAGGUGGGACUUGCAUGCAUGUCUGAUCCAAAUAACUAAAAGAUUAUAUAUAUAUAUAUAUAUAUUCUAAAUUAAGUACUAUUUUUUUUUUUUACUUUAUUAUUUCUCUUGUACAUUACUUAAUGAUUGUCAUGUUUCUAGUUAUUAUGCCAGCAGUGGGACUUGCAUGCAUGUCUGAUCCAAUAACUAAAAGAUUAUAUAUAUAUAUAUAUAUAUUAAUGUAGCUUAUAUCUGUCUUUUCCACUGUUUCAUUCAAAAUAAACCAGAAUUACAGAUCUCUCCUCUCUACCAGUGCAGGAUUUUUAGAUAACUAAUCUGACACUAGUGAAUUUACUGUAUUUAUGUUCAAAAUGAAAGAUACACCUAUUAUGUUUUUUGCUGGCUCCCAUCCCAGUGAUUUUGGAUGUCAUACUGACACCUUCUUGUACUUCUGUUAGCACAGAAUGCCAGACAAUUACCUCAGUUAUAUUUGUAUUUUUUUAUUUAUCUUUUAACUAUAAACAUUUCUUACCUGUUUUCACGCUGAGAACACGUAUUUUGAUCUCUUUCUGUCAAACAAUACAGAUAUGUUAAAUGAAAUGUUUGGUCAGUGAGUGUAGUUCAUGAAAUGUGUCUUAGCAACUCAGAAAACUGUUUGAAAUGCUAGCAGUGCUGAAAACAGAAUUUCAAACUCAUUAAUUUAACUGGUUCAAAAAUAAUAACAACUAUCCUCUGGAAAGUCAGAAGAAGAAAUUACCAACAAGAUUGUCACCUUGACUUACAAAAAAACACAUCAAAAUGACAUAAAUUAAAGAAACUUUGGCCCAGGUCGCAUCAGUGGGCAAAAGCAUCAGGGUUCUGACGACACCCCUUUGGGGAGUGUGCAGCAAACUCCUUGUGGACUGAGUGGACUGAAUUGGUGGGUUUUUGUUAAAUGUGAGCCAAAAUCAUCACAAUUAAAAGAACCAAAGACUUAAACUACUUCAGUCUGUGCACACUGAAUUUAAUACACAAGUUUCACAAUUUGAGUCGAAUUACUGAAAUAAAUUAACUUUUCCAUGACAUUCUAAUUUAUUGAGAUGCACCUGUACAUUACACACUCUGUGCAUGGUUGCAAGACAAGUUUUUGUGUCUCUUUGUUGGCAAAUACAUACCUUUUUUGUCUUUUCAUAUAUACAUGACUUUUUUUUUCAUAUUCACACUUCAUUCAUUCUGUAUAUGUUAAAGUGAUACUCCACCCCAAAAUGAAUUUUCUUUCAUUAAUCACUUAUCCCCAUGUCGUUCCAAACCCGUAAAAGCUUUGUUCGUCUUCAGAACACAAUUUAGGAUAUUUUGGAUGAAAACCGGGAGGCUUGUGACUGUCCCAUGGACUGCCAAGUAAAUUACACUGUUAAGGUCCAGAAAAGUAUGAAAAGCAUUUUGGUGUGGAGAAUCCCUUUAAACCAGAAGAAAACAGAGAACUUAAACAUACAUCUAAAUAAAGUUGAAUGAAAAUGAGACUUACUUUGUGCUUCUUGUCUGGAGUGUGACUGAAUGCAGACUCAAGGUAUAGGCUCUUGUUUUUCCAUUAGAGGGCAGCCUAACCUCACAAAACAAAUAUUUGACUGCUGUGAGCCAUGUUUGAUUUGAUGUGUUUCGCCUGGAGUUUGCCACUAGUAUGAGAGGGUAGGUCAAACACCUAUACAGGUGUAAUGCUGAUGAACAAUAAACAAAAAUAUACUUUUGACAAAUUAAUUCUACAUGCUUCAUAUAAAUAAGGGGUCCUAGAAAUGGACUUCUGUUUAUUGACCCUGAAGCCUGUGACCAGUGGCCUGUUGCAUGAAGCUAGCGAAACAAACUAGUUUCAGAGUUGGUUCAGAUCAGGUUCAGUUGGCUCACAAUGGUCAAUAUAAACUUUCUGUCAACUCAGGGAUCAAUCCAGUGUAAUUAACUACAGUGUGACACGUGCAGCAAAUACAAACCAUGCAGAGAAUCGCUUCUCUGGUAAGAG